GUUAAAUAUGGCGACACUGGUUGAGUGACGGAUUUAAUUGAAGAGCUUAUGAGCUUUGCAUUGAAAGAAAAGCUUGUCGUCGAGAAUUUUGGAUGGUAACAGUUUUCUGUUCAUAAACCCUGGAGGACACACAGGGACUUCCAGAAGCUUUCACAGACGUCAAAAGGAGGACUUGAAGUCUAUCUGUUGGUCAUGAAUCAGAUGGUGGAGGAAUAGAGGACGCACUCGGCCCAAUCCAGCUCCAUCCCACACUGCGUUUAAAGGCAAGUGUGUGUGUGUGUGUGAG